GAUGAACGCUGGCGGCGUGCUUAACACAUGCAAGUCGAACGAAGCAUUUAGAACAGAUUACUUCGGUUUGAAGUUCUUUAUGACUGAGUGGCGGACGGGUGAGUAACGCGUGGGUAACCUGCCUUGUACUGGGGGAUAGCAGCUGGAAACGGCUGGUAAUACCGCAUAAGCGCACAAUGUUGCAUGACAUGGUGUGAAAAACUCCGGUGGUAUAAGAUGGACCCGCGUCUGAUUAGCUAGUUGGUGAGAUAACAGCCCACCAAGGCGACGAUCAGUAGCCGACCUGAGAGGGUGACCGGCCACAGUGGGACUGAGACACGGCCCAGACUCCUACGGGAGGCAGCAGUGGGGAAUAUUGCACAAUGGAGGAAACUCUGAUGCAGCGACGCCGCGUGAGUGAAGAAGUAAUUCGUUAUGUAAAGCUCUAUCAGCAGGGAAGAUAGUGACGGUACCUGACUAAGAAGCUCCGGCUAAAUACAUG
rnacentral:rRNA from 1 species